rnacentral:rRNA from 1 species
GACGAACGCUGGCGGCGUGCCUAACACAUGCAAGUCGAACGGGGUUAAGCCCUUCGGGACUUAACUUAGUGGCGAACGGGUGAGUAACGCGUGAGGAACCUGCCUUUCAGUGGGGGACAACAGUUGGAAACGACUGCUAAUACCGCAUAAAACUUUUUGGGGGCAUCCCUGAAAAGUCAAAGAUUUAUUGCUGAAAGAUGGCCUCGCGUCUGAUUAGCUAGUUGGCGGGGUAACGCCACCAAGGCGACGAUCAGUAGCCGGUCUGAGAGGAUGAACGGCCACAUUGGGACUGAGAUACGGCCCAGACUCCUACGGGAGGCAGUCAGUGGGGAAUAUU